rnacentral:rRNA from 1 species
GUGGGGAAUUUUGGACAAUGGGCGCAAGCCUGAUCCAGCAAUGCCGCGUGUGUGAAGAAGGCCUUCGGGUUGUAAAGCACUUUUGGCAGGAAAGAAAUAGUGCGUGCUAAUACCAUGCGCGAAUGACGGUACCUGCAGAAUAAGCACCGGCUAACUACGUGCCAGCAGCCGCGGUAAGACGUAGGGUGCAAGCGUUAAUCGGAAUUACUGGGCGUAAAGCGUGCGCAGGCGGUUUUGUAAGACAGGUGUGAAAUCCCCGGGCUCAACCUGGGAACUGCACUUGUGACUGCAAGGCUAGAGUGUGUCAGAGGGAGGUGGGAUUCCGAGUGUAGCAGUGAAAUGCGUAGAGAUGCGGAGGAACACCGAUGGCGAAGGCAGCCUCCUGGGAUAACACUGACGCUCAGGCACGAAAGCGUGGGGAGCAAACAGGAUUAGAUACCCCAGUAGUCC